rnacentral:hammerhead_ribozyme from 1 species
AUCCAGCCGACGAGUCCCAAACAGGAGGAAACCCGCGUCAAACUGAAA